GUGCUUGUUUCAGUAGCACACAUUAAAUUGAGAUAAUACAGAGAUGAUUAGCAUGGUCCCCAUGCAAAGAUGACACACAAAUUAACAAAGCAUUCCACAGUUUU
ensembl:snRNA U6 U6 spliceosomal RNA